CUCCAGUUGGAUGCAUGUCCUUCUGGGAAAGAUUCAUCGGUAUGGGAUGGGGUCGCGUCCUAUCAGCUUGAUGGCGGGGUAACGGCCCACCAUGGCUUCGACGGGUAGCCGGCCUGAGAGGGCGACCGGCCACAUUGGGACUGAGAUACGGCCCAGACUCCUACGGGAGGCAGCAGUGGGGAAUAUUGCACAAUGGGCGCAAGCCUGAUGCAGCGACGCCGCGUGCGGGAUGACGGCCUUCGGGUUGUAAACCGCUUUUGACUGGGAGCAAGCCCUUCGGGGUGAGUGUACCUUUCGAAUAAGCACCGGCUAACUACGUGCCAGCAGCCGCGGUAAUACGUAGGGUACAAGCGUUAUCCGGAAUUAUUGGGCGUAAAGGGCUCGUAGGCGGUUCGUCGCGUCCGGUGUGAAAGUCCAUCGCUUAACGGUGGAUCCGCGCCGGGUACGGGCGGG
rnacentral:rRNA from 1 species